AUUGAACGCUGGCGGCAGGCCUAACACAUGCAAGUCGAGCGAGGGGCGGACGGGUGCGUAAUGUAUGGGGACUGCCCGAUAGAGGGGGAUAACUACUGGAAACGGUGGCUAAUACCGCAUACCAUCGGAUUACCCAUAUGGGAUUAGCUAGUAGGGGGGGUAAAGGCUCACCGAGGCGACGAUCUCUAGCUGGUCUGAGAGGAUGAUCAGCAACACUGGAACUGAGCCACGUGCCAGACGCCUACGGAGGCAGCAGUGGGGAAUAUUUCACACUGGGUGCAACCGUGAUGCCGCCAUGCCGCUUCGAUUAAGAAGGCCUUAGGGCUGGAAAGUCCUUUCAGCGCGGAGGCGUUACCUUCAGAAGAAGCACCGGCGAACUCCGUGCCAGCCGCCGCGGUAAUAC
rnacentral:rRNA from 1 species